rnacentral:rRNA from 1 species
AUACGUAUGUCGCAAGCGUUAUCCGGAUUUAUUGGGCGUAAAGCGCGUCUAGGCGGCUUAGUAAGUCUGAUGUGGAAAUGCGGGGCUCAACCCCGUAUUGCGUUGGAAACUGCUAAACUAGAGUACUGGAGAGGUAGGCGGAACUACAAGUGUAGAGGUGAAAUUCGUAGAUAUUUGUAGGAAUGCCGAUGGGGAAGCCAGCCUACUGGACAGAUACUGACGCUAAAGCGCGAAAGCGUGGGUAGCAAACAGGAUUAGAUACCCUGGUAGUCCACGCCGUAAACGAUGAUUACUAGGUGUUGGGGGUCGAACCUCAGCGCCCAAGCUAACGCGAUAAGUAAUCCGCCUGGGGAGUACGUACGCAAGUAUGAAACUCAAAUGAAUUGACGGGG